ACCUCGUCCUGGGAUGCUGCACAGAGGGUUUCAGGCUCCUGCCCAGCACAACCUGGUGCUGCGGGCAUGAGGGCCAGGACUGGCGCUGUGUCCUGAGUGCAGAGGGAAUACGGGUGUCGGUGAUGGUGCUGAUAAAUAACCAGGUGGUGAGAAGUGUUCAGGGCUAAAGGGAUACACAUUUAGGUUAAGUUUGAGGGGACAGUCACCACUCAGGGGGCUGCAAGAACCCACAGAAGAGUUCCUGUCUGGUCGGUGCAGUGGUGCUCUGCUAGGGGUGGAGUUGUGUCCCCAAAGUCGUGUUCUGAUUCCCUGAUAUCUUAAUACUUAAGUGUGGGACCUUCUUUGGAAAAAAGGUCUUGAAAGAGGUAAUUAAAAUGGGGUCAUUAGGGUGAGCCCCAAUUCAGUUUGGUGUGUUAAUUUUAGUAAAUUAAACCUGGAGAUAGGCAGGCACCCAGCGUGAAGAUGAAAGCAGGCAUCCACAAGCCAAGGAAUGGCCAAGAAUGCUGGCACACCUGCAGAAGCCAGGGGCGGGCAUAGGAUGGGGUUCCCACUUAGGGCUCUGCGAGGGACCUAACCUUGAUGGCGCCCCUGGAUGUGACACGUUCAGCCGCCAGGGCCUCAGAGCACUCCGUCUCUGUUGUGUCAGCCCCCAGCCCUAAGAGGUGAGUACCCACUCCCCUGGGGUCAAGGAUGAGCUCACGUGCGAAGGACGUUCGUUGUUUCCCAAAGGACCCAGGCUGAAGUAGAGAUGGCCCGCGUUUUCAGGGCUGGACUGAGCCAGGCACCGGGGAUGCAUCGUGGCAGCCGGCACUCACUGUGCACCUGCGUACCUGUGGGACUCCUGCCUCCUUAGACCUCCCACCUAAGGUGCCUCUUCUGCCUCACCCUGCUGAAAGCCUUGUAUGUUGGAACCUGGAGCCAAAGAGUACAACAUGGACCCGUGGGACGUGCGGUGUCUGGAAGUGCUAUCGUGAGGCCCCAGGAUCUCCUGGGGUUCUCAGAGGUAUGGGCCUGUGCAUCCCUUGAGGAGUUGCCAUGUAGUCCUGCCUUUGUCCACAGGGGGCACCCUUGGCGCUCCACCAUCACCAGGCUGCUGAGGGUUUCUCUCAGUCCCUCCUUCCGCUUCACUCUUGGUAAGUGGAGCAAUGGAUUCUGUAGUGAGUUACUUUGUCUGUUUGUUCUUUAA
rnacentral:lncRNA from 1 species